UUUGUGGAUUGUUGCAUUUUCGAGGUUUGUUGAUUGUUUUUCAAGGGACGGAAUUAGCAGAGGAGAUGGAGCAGAACCACUUCUGCAGCCAUUGCCACUUUAUUUCUUCCUCAUUAGGUUUUUUGGGUAAUUUUGGUAAUUGUUUGCUUAAGAUAUAGAUUUAUUCCUUUUUUUUUUUUGAAAAAGGAAUUGGCAAAAUCAAUAAUUUCAUAU
rnacentral:misc_RNA from 1 species